UCGACUUGAGCGCCAGCGAGAGAGCGUUGCCGCAGGCAACGACCCGAAGGGCGAAGCGCGCAGCGCUGAGUAAUCCUUCCCCCACCACCA
rnacentral:sRNA from 2 species